rnacentral:lncRNA from 1 species
AAAAAGGCCACAUUUUAGUGUUUUUUUAAAUUGCUAGGAUGGGAAAAACUUGUGUCGUUUGUGCCGCAUCAUGAUAAAAAGGUGAUUCAAGCCGAUCUUUUCACAAGAUUUCUGAUGCACUGGUUAAAAACACAGCAGCGGAUAAUUCAGUUAAUUUACCAAGUGAUUUAUCCUUCAAAGCUGCAGAGGCAGCUUUCCUGAAGAGUGCAAAAACUUCUUUAGCUUCCAAAAUGGUAUAUAGUACAAACAGUGAAGCUAAUAUAGAUAAAUCUGAUCAUUCAUCAUCAACAAUAACUGCAUCUGAGAUUAAUAGUUCUACAGUAAUCGUGGGGUCUAGGUCAACAAUUACUAUUUCUCAUCAAAGCCGUUUUUGU